GAGCGGCGAACGGGUGAGUAACACGUGAGCAACCUGCCCCUGACUCUGGGAUAAGCCCGGGAAACUGGGUCUAAUACCGGAUACGACCGCCCCCGGCAUCGGGUGGUGGUGGAAAGUUUUUUCGGUUGGGGAUGGGCUCGCGGCCUAUCAGCUUGUUGGUGGGGUAGUGGCCUACCAAGGCGACGACGGGUAGCCGGCCUGAGAGGGCGACCGGCCACACUGGGACUGAGACACGGCCCAGACUCCUACGGGAGGCAGCAGUGGGGAAUAUUGCGCAAUGGGCGGAAGCCUGACGCAGCGACGCCGCGUGGGGGAUGACGGCCUUCGGGUUGUAAACCUCUUUCAGCAGGGACGAAGUUGACGUGUACCUGCAGAAGAAGCGCCGGCUAACUACGUGCCAGCAGCCGCGGUAAUACGUAGGGCGCAAGCGUUGUCCGGAAUUAUUGGGCGUAAAGAGCUCGUAGGUGGCUGGUCGCGUCUGCCGUGAAAGCCCGCAGCUUAACUGCGGGUCUGCGGUGGAUACGGGCCGGCUAGAGGUAGGUAGGGGCAAGUGGAAUUCCU
rnacentral:rRNA from 1 species